UCUGACCAAGUCCUCUCUCAUUUUUUUACAAACUUCAAACUUUUAUUUGUUGAUUUUUGAGCCAUUUGUUAUCUUUAAUCAUGAUAGGGAAAUGGGUACCAUCUUGGGUUUUAUCAGUGUGGUACAUCAUGCUUCUAUGUAGAUACUUUCAUAAUUGUUCUGCCUUUACUCUACCAAUGAAGGAACAAUCCUAUUUUGGUACUAUGGUUUUUCUCCUUGAUGGGAAUGUCUAUCCUAAAGGGUAUAUUUUCAAUUCUAUGUUGUGUUUUUUCAUACACAUUAUAUGUGUACAUAAAAACUAGUAAUAAAAUAUUUAAAUUCAACUACUUGACGUUCAGGUGGUACUCAAUGUAGGCCAACCCCCUAGACCUUAUUUUCUUGACGUAGACACGGGGAGUGAUCUCACUUGGCUCCAAUGUGAUAUACCUGGAGCCAAAAAUCUUCCGGUGACUACUUCUCUGUUUCCAGUUAAACCAAAUAUUAUUAAUAUGAAUUUAAAUCGAUAAUAUUUAUAUAUGACAUUGCAGGCUCCUCACCAUCCUUACAAACCGAAUAACAAUCUUGUCAAUCGUAAUGAUCCGAUAUGUGCAUCCAUUCAAGGAACCACUCCUACCGAUCAAUGUGACUAUGAGAUUGAGUAUGCAGAUCAUUGUUCAUCCUAUGGAGUUCUGGUCAGAGACGCAUUGCAAGUAAAAUACACUAAUGGUACCUCCAUUGCUCCUCCUCUGGUGUUUGGUUGUGGAUAUGAUCAAAAAGUGUCACAAUCUGGGCGUCCACCACCUUAUACAGAUGGAAUCAUCGGUCUAGGAAAUGGAAAAUCAAGCAUACUAUCACAGAUGAGGUUUAAUCCGGAAUGUAGUAGGUCAUUGUUUAAGUGGGCAAGGAGGAGGUUUUCUAAUCCUUGGAAAUGACAUUGUUCCGUCUUCUGGGAUUGUUUGGUUACCUAUCGUAGAGAAAGAGUAUUCUUUGGGGCCAGCAGAUGUACUUUCCAAUGGGCAGGCAACUGGAAUAAAGGAUAUAGCAAUAAUCCUAGAUAGUGGAACUACCUUUACCUACUUCAAUUCCGAAGCUUACAAGACUCUCUUGUCUUUGAUUAAGGAAAACAUAGACACAAAGCAACUGACUGAUUGAUGCAGAGGACGACAAAAGUUUGCCCGUCUGCUGGAAAGGAUCAAAACCUUUCAAAUCUCUUACAGAUGCUACGAUCUACUUCAAGCCAUUGACACUUAGUUUCACAAAAGAUACGAAUAUUCAGCUUCAACUAACACCUGAGGCUUAUCUUAUUCUUACUGAUAAGGGCAAUGUAUGCUUAGGGAUAUUGAAUGGUUUUGAGGCUGGAUUAGGAGAUGUUAAUAUGAUUGGAGAUAUUUCUAUGUUAGACAAACUGGUGAUUUACGACAAUGAAAAACAGCAGAUUGGAUGGGCACCAGCAAACUGCAACAAGCUUCCAUCGUUGUCCUGAAUAUAUCAAUCAUAGGAAGAAGCAGGCAGAUAGUGUGUCAGUGUCAUAAGCAUACCAAUGUUUGUAAUACAGAAAAUUCACUGUAAUCACCCAUAGAAUUAUAGAUUUAUAUAAUAGCAGCCUAGUAUGUGAUUACUAUUCUAAAAGCAGGAAGACUCAAAGUCAAAGUAAAGAAUUAGCAAAAAAAAAUGCUCUUGUAACUUAAGCACAUGAUAAAAGGGUGAAAAUCAACUGAACUCAUACUUUCUAGCUUAGACCUGAAUAUAUCUGUAUAAAAACCACUGAAAGUGUUCAAAAUAUUGAAUUAUGAAUCCAUAACUCAAAUAUUGAAUUGCA